rnacentral:rRNA from 1 species
GACGAACGCUGGCGGCGUGCUUAACACAUGCAAGUCGAACGAAGUGGCGAACGGGUGAGUAACGCGUAAUCAACCUGCCCUUCUGAGGGGGACAACAGCUGAAAACGACCGCUAAUACCGCAUACUGAAGGAGGGGAUUGCGGCUGCUUAGAUAGUUGGGGGGGUAACGGCCCACCACGGCGAUGAUCAGUAGCAGGCCUGAGAGGAUGAGCGGCCAAAUUGGGCCGGGGAAACGGCCCAGAAUCCUACAGGAGGCAGCAGUGGGGAAUCUGCCGAAAUGGACGAAAGUCUGACGGAGCCGCGCCGCGUGAGUGAUGGAGGCCUUCGGGUUGUAAAGCUCUGUUAAUCGGGACGCGGUACCGGAAUAAAAAGCCACGGCUAACUGCGUGCCAGCAGCCGCGGUAAUAC